CCAACUCCAAUAGGCCUCCCAGCUCAUGAGACCUGAACCCAAAUGGGGUCCCGUGUUGGGCUGAUGGAGACCCCAACCCCAAUGGGGUCUCGUGUUGGGUUCACAGAGACCCCAACCCCAAUAGGGCCUCAUGUUGGGUUGACGGAGACCCCAACCCCAAUGGGGUCCCAUGUUGGGUUGAUGGAGACCCCAACCCCAACGGGACCCAGAGCUCAUGAGACCCCAACCCUACGGGGUGUUGGGUUGACAGAGACCCAACCUCAACAGGGUCUCACGUUGGGCUGACGGAACCCCCAACCCCAACGGGGUCCCGUGUUGGGCUGACGGAGACCCCAACCCCAACAGGGCCUCAUGUUGGAUUCAUGGAGACCCAACCUCAACGGGGUCCCAUGUUGGUUUUACGAAGACCCCAACCCCAAUGGGGUCCCAUGUUGGGCUGACGGAGCCCCCAACCCCAAUGGGGUCCCAUGUUGGGCUGACGGAGCCCCCAACCCCAAUGGGGUCCCAUGUUG
rnacentral:lncRNA from 1 species